GAUGAACGCUAGCUACAGGCUUAACACAUGCAAGUCGAGGGGCAGCACAGUGUAGCAAUACACGGGUGGCGACCGGCGCACGGGUGCGUAACACGUAUCCAAUCUGCCCGUUACUCGGGGAUAGCCUUCUGAAAGGAAGAUUAAUACCCGAUAGCAUUCAUUUGCGGCAUCGCUUAUGAAUUAAAGAUUUAUCGGUAACGGAUGAGGAUGCGUACGCUUAGCGUGUUGGCGGGGUAACGGCCCACCAAGGCUACGAUCGUUUGGGGUUCUGAGAGGAAGGACCCCCACACAGCAGAUUUGGCACGAGCCAGAAUCCUAAGGGAGGCAGCCGUGAGGAAUAUUGGUCAAUGGGCGAGAGACUGAACCAGUCAAGUAGCGUUAAGGAUCACUGUCCUAUGUGUUGUAAACUUGUUUUGUUUGGGAAUAAAGUCAGGUACGUGUACCUGGUUGUAGGUACCAUUCGAAUCAGCAUCGGCUAUUUCCGUGCCAGACGCCGCGGUCAUAC
rnacentral:rRNA from 1 species